CUUCAGCGAGCCCAGCCACAAGGGGCGCUCGGGCUCCCGGUCCUGGCCGUACGUCGCCAGCAGCGCCUGCGCCUC
rnacentral:antisense_RNA from 1 species